CAGACAAAUGGCAAGGUUGUGUAGAGAAGCUCCAAAGCAUCCACAGAAGUAGCCCAGUUCAGUACCAUGGCACAUGAAAAACCAGAUUUGCAAGUUUUGGAGGAGAUUAAAAGUGAAUUAUCAGACUGCUCAUGCAUAGAUGAUGAAGAUGAUAAUGACUUUGACAUUGGUCAUGUGAGCCAAACUUCCUGUGACAGUGAAAUGGAGCAAGAAUUGACCCAGACAGGCACAAGGAAUGCAGAACUCCUUGAUUCAGAAUGCAACAUUCAACAAUUGAUUUACCACUGUCUAAUUGAUGUUACAUUUGGUGACAGAGCACAAGUUGAUCAGCAUGGGCAUUCUACACAAGAACAAAGCAGAAAUUCCAAAUGAAAUGUUCCAAUUUCAAAACAGA